rnacentral:rRNA from 1 species
UACGUAGGGGGCGAGCGUUAUCCGGAAUUAUUGGGCGUAAAGAGUACGUAGGCGCGAAAUUAAGCACAGGGUUUAAGGCAACGGCUUAACCGCUGUUCGCCCUGUGAACUGAUUUUCUUGAGUGCAGGGGGGGGAAAGCGGAAUUCCUAGUGUAGCGGUGAAAUGCGUAGAUAUUAGGAUGAACACCAGUGGCGAAGGCGGCUUUCUGGACUGUAACUGACGCUGAGGUACGAAAGUGUGGGGAGCAAAC